rnacentral:rRNA from 1 species
UACGUAGGGGGCAAGCGUUGUCCGGAAUUAUUGGGCGUAAAGCGCUCGCAGGCGGUCUUUUAAGUCUGAUGUGAAAGCCCACGGCUUAACCGUGGAGGGUCAUUGGAAACUGGAGGACUUGAGUGCAGAAGAGGAGAGUGGAAUUCCACGUGUAGCGGUGAAAUGCGUAGAGAUGUGGAGGAACACCAGUGGCGAAGGCGACUCUCUGGUCUGUAACUGACGCUGAGGAGCGAAAGCGUGGGGAGCGAACAGG